ensembl:lncRNA
CAAAGAUUCGGUAGUACUGUAAUGGAGACUUUUGUAGUCAAAUGGAGUUCUUUUCCUCACAUUUAGUACUAGAUAUUGGGCACCUGUCCACGUGAAGGUAGUGAAGGAUUGGAUAGUACAAAUAAAAGUACUGAAUUCCAGUGGCUUAUUACAGUAUCAGGAAGUAGCUUUACUUGGGUUAGAACUGGGUUUCCUGGUGUCAGAUGGAAUUGUUGUCUUUGGCAUAACAGGCUACCUAUAAAGCUUCUAUGAUGAAAUUCUGGCAUAUUCACAUUGGAAAUGAUCCUGGAAAACGUACAGAGAUUGGAGUUCUUACUCUUUGAAGGUAAAAGCCACUUUAUUUUUGUGAACACUUCUUAACUGCCCUGUUUUGUACCUUCCCUGGCUUUCUUUUAUGUCUUUGAAGUGGCUGCUGGAAGGUCAUGAAGUAUGCUGGGUGUAUAUAUAACCAUGGCUUUGUGUAAUAUUGAUUAUCCUUUUUUCCCUAACAUCAUUCUGAUUACCUGCAGUUGUUAUUUUUCUGUUUGUGUGUGUGUGUUUUAGACAAAAGUUGUUGUUUCCGUUUUACUUUGUAACUCAUAAUUUGCUCAGGCUAGGUGAUUAAAGAUAGAGGAGCCAGAAUUUACUGCCUUAUUGUUUUCCACGUACCUUGAUUCCCAGAGAAAGAAGCUUGUGUGUAGUGUGCAUAAGCAAAGUUGAAUGGCAUUCUGAUUGCCUGUUGUCUCUGGGGAAAUAGCUUCACUAUUAGGAACAGCCCAUGUAUGUAUAUAUGGCUGGUGAAUAAACACUUCUGCAGUAGCAGAGCUGGUACUUACGGCGUGGAAGGUGUUAAUCAAAGUCACUCUGGCUCUAGUUGUACUUAGCACCAGGACCAAGUUCAGAAUUCCGAAUGGACAUCUGACAAGCCAAAGUGCCCACAGUUGCUUUGGGGUUUCAUCCAGCUGUGUUCUGCCCACGAGAUUCAUAAUUACAGAUUAUUUUAAUUGCUGCUCAGUCAAAACCAGUGUUGCUAAUGACAGCAGUGAUCUAAAGGCCAUUUCAGUUGCCCUUUUCUCCCCUUAUCGUUAUUCUUGAUCAUCUUGUUAAUUUUGCUGCAGUUUGAGAAACUUUCAGAACUUUUCUGUCUUGUUGGCUCUGAUCCACUAUGCGUGUUAUUUCCUUGUUCCUUGUAAUGCCCUCUUCCUUUGUCUUUUGUCCCUUUUUAGGGACUUUAACCACUGUUAGGGCCACUGGAUUUUAUAUCUCUUAAUUUCACUCGCAGCCUGUAAUCUCAUAUGUAUCUCCAGAUCACAUGAAACUUGAUAAUGCUAAAAAACAGUUGCCAGUCACUUAACAAACAUCUAGUGAGGACGUGGGUUCCUGGCACUCAGCUGGUACUGGGGAUAACGAGAGGCAGCAUCUGGCAAAGGGAACAAAAUCUUUCAUAGUGAGUGGGAGUUGCUCAGUCAUGUCCAGCUCUUUGCGACCCCAUGCACUGUAAAGCCUGCCAGGCUCCUCUGUCCAUGGAAUUCUCCAGACAAAAAUACUGGAGUGGGUUGCCAUUUCCUUCUUACAUAACCAUGAAAGAAUUAACUUGUUUGGGGAGCACAUUUUGAUCUUCCGGGUUGCAGUCUUAAUAGUUGUUCUGUUGGAUUUUCUGUUGAUUAAGUCAUACUGAUUCUUCUAUGAGGUCUUCUGCUUACUUUCUCUAUUAUCCUAGGAUUGUAGUUCUUACUCUUGCAGGAUUAAAUGUAGAAGACAUUUAUCAGACUAGCCAUGGGAACUAAUGAUUGUACUUGACUACGUUAAUUGAUUGGAAAUUUUGUGUUAAAAGAUUGUGGGAAUUCAGCAAUACUUUUUAAGUGCAUUAUUUAAUUACAAUAGCAUUUACACUCAGAUUUAGACUAUACUUUUAGAGAGCCACCUUUAUGCUAAAUAAUGUUCUAAAGAAUAAAAGUAUACAGUGGGCACAAGGCAGUCUUCUCCCAUUAUGGAGCUAAUCUCUUAACGGAGGAAAUUCACAUUUAGUUGGCUUGAUGUUUCCCUAAAUCUAAGACUCACAGGUUUGGAGGCAUUGCUGUGUGUCUAAGAAGUCAGUUUCUAGUUUGUUACAACUCUCUUCCUAAUUUUCUUCAUGUCUCUCACUUCUGUGUCCUAUACAAUUGCCGUAAUAAUUACCACACAAAUACCUACAUUCCCAUUACAUCAUGGUGUCAAGUCUAAAUUCUUGACAUUUGAGACCUUUUAUAUGGUUCCCAGGCAUCUUAAUCUUUCCUUUCAAACCUUUUAUUCCUUUCCCAUUCUGACACUGAUUCUGCUCAAGCCUUUACUGUUAACCUUAGGAAAGUUACACUGCCUUUGUCCACCUUGCUGUAACUCACUACUACUUAGCAAUUACUUUGGAGCUUACUCCAUUUUCUAGAGAGACAUGGAUUGGAAUGUUAUAUAUCAUUCAUAAAAAUAACAGGGAUAUAUGGUUGAACUUUGAAGAUUGCCAUGUAUAAUGAUUUAUAGAUUUCAACCAGUGGCCCACUUCAAGGAAUACUUGGAGUCACUUAAGUGGCAAUUUGACAACGAAGCUGUACUGAAACUUACUAUCUAGAUGCAGUGGGUAACAAUCUGUAAGUAGAAAAUGCAGAAGGCUUAGAUUUAGUCAUAUGAAUUUAGGAGUUUGCAUCGGGUUUUGAGGCUGAACCAAGUGACUCAAAGGGAAUUUAAAAUUCUCUGCUCUUGACUAUUAAAGAGCAAUCUUUUGCUUUAAAGUUUUCAGAAUUCCACUUCUUGAAAGCACACAGACUAACCAGUAGAAAAACAGCCUAGUUGGCCAGUCUCGGCCUAAAAGUUGAACAGGUGGAUGCGUAGAUUUUUCACAUGCUCUUGUAUUUUUUGAAAACAAAGGUACUAUUGUAUUAUUGCAGUACAUGUCCGUAUUGCAGUAGUCAUCCAUACUUGUGAGACUGUCUAAAUCUGCACUUCAGUCAUGGUGAUAGCCUCCCUUAGACAAAGUGUCAGACCUGCCUCCUAUGUUGGAUGCUCUGUCUCUUCCUGGGGAAAUUAAAGUACAAAAAGACUUGUUGAUAUUUUGAAUUUUUGACUUGAUAUUCCAACACCUCUCAUACUGGUCAAGCAGUAUCUCCUAUUCAUUGAGUUCCUACUGUGCACCAGUUACAUGCAGCUCGGUACUUUAUAUCAUCUUUAACAUUCACAGGAACCCCCAUGUUAGGCACUAGGAUCCCUGUUGCCAGUGGGAAAACUGAGGCCCAGAGAGAUUGAAUGACAUAGCCAGGGUUGUACAGCUAGUUUGUAAUAAAGCAAGUAUUAGUGCUAAAAACUUAUUUUCACUUUUUAUCUUCCUGUAGAAAUUUAUUUUGCUUUUUAGAGCGAGAGGCAAAGCAUUUUCUUCAGGUUAGAUUUAUUGUGGGGAGUUUUGAAUUACAAGCUAAAAACAGAUGGUGUAUUCUACAAUAUAAGGUUUAAAUUUGUGAAAUUUUAUUUGCUGUUGUAUGCUUCUGUUUCCCUGUCCUUAGCAUCACUGAAUAUUUUCUACAUUUUGUGAUUGAUACUUGUUUGCUUCUUUAUAUACAAAAUCUGUAAUUUUGUAGAGGAAUGGGAUAAAAGAGGUUAAGUUGGUUUUGUACUUCCAAGUAGAGUCUAACCACCUUGAUUAUCCCCACAGCAAACCUGAAAAGUCAGUUCACCACUUUUAACAUAUACGUAACACUGUGUGUGCAGAAAAAUAUAUCGUAUACUGCCUUCCAUCUCCUAUUAUUAAUAGUAAUAAUUGAUGCCAGGCAGGAAGAGUGCUACCUCAUAUUUGGAUCAGCUACUUCUACCUAAAGAACAUUUGAAAAAAUUUGCCUGAAGCUGUUCUGAAAGUUAAGUAUCAUUAGAUACAUUGGCAAAGCCUGGGCUCAAAUUCCAGCCUUUCACAGAGCCCAUCAGGGAGAUCCUUGCUUUUUGCCUUGCAAAAAUAAAAAAUAAUAGCCAUUGAGGAAGUAAAAUUUGAGUAAAUAUGUACUCUGUUUAAUGCCUCUGGCUAGCAUUUGUUAAGUGCUUCCUGUGUGUCAGCUGCUGCUGAAAAAGUGCUUUUCAGGCGUUCUCUUAAUCUACGCACCUUCGCAUCUACAGAUGAGGAAAUGGAGAGGCAAGGACAUUUGUAGUGGAAUCAUGAUUCAUUCAAAUACUAAAGAUCUGGUCUGUUCAGAAAUAGAGCCGUGGAUCUCACUAAACUAGAAGAGAAAAAAAUAGAGCUCCAGAGUAAAGUAGAGAAAGGUUUUUAUUUUUAAUUUCGGUGUUUUCUCUCUCCCUUUCCUCCCUGCAGCGUGCCCCUACCACAUGUUCCGUAGAUUCCCCCCUCUAAGUUCUGCUAUUUUUCCCCCUUUUCAAAAUGUUUCAGCAUCCUCAGGAGCAGUAAAUUGGAAGUUUAUUCAUAAAUGUAGCAAUUGUAUCAGAGGCUUCAAAAUAAUUGUACUUUAUUGACCUAUGUUUUGUCUUGAAAUUUUUCAUUUUGAACUGAAAUGGGGAGGGCUGUUAAAGUGUUUUCUCUGCCUGUUUAUGAUACGUUUUAGAUCGCUCACAUUUUUUCCCUGGAUAUUUAUCAGGAGAUGGUGUAGAGGUUUGGUAAGUAAUGCAGUUUGAUUUUGUAUGUCUCGAGGGUUUCUCAUUAAGUCACAUAUUUGAGUUUUCUUUAUUCUGACCUUUUUUCCCCUGGUGAUUCUAUUUGCAAUAUUGACUGAAAAUCCUUACAUUAAUGCUAAUUUUGAUCUUUUUUUUCACUAGCAUGUUUUGGAGCCCUCAGACUUGAAGAAGGACGUAGGUAAAAAGUAUAAUAUGAAACAUUUUCUGACAUUAGGGUUAUGAAGUCCUUUCCUUUAGUUGCCUACUUGCUGUGUUCAGUUUGAAAAUUAGAACAAUUUAAAUGGUUUGGUUUUGCCCAAACAAUUAUGGAUAUUUCAGUUCUCUUAUAUUUCUAAACAUAACAUCAAUUAUCUAAUCCUUCACAUAAAAAGAAAGAUGGUUUCAUAUUACAUUAGGAAGUACUUAGAACUUUAAAACAUUUUCCCUGUGUAAGAUUUUAUGCAGUGCUUGAGUUACUUAAUUAUAAAGUAGGUAACAAAUAUUCAUCUAAAGCACAUUUUAGAUUUAUCAGAAUCGAGCUUUACUGCUGCUGUGUCUGAAAUGCUUUCCAACUUCCCCAGAGUCCUCACUGAAUAUAAACUCCAUAUUGUGUCUCUCAUAUAUCUGACCCUGGUGUGCCAAGGCGAACCCUGCAUGUUUUUGUAAAGUUCUUUUCUGUGACUAGACUUGAUAAAAGACAAAGCCUAGGAAGUGCCAUAUUCCUUUGUCUGUUCAUGAAGUUGUUUUAAAACAUUCUUUAAUUUAGAAACAUAAAUGCCACACUUUUAAAAAUUUUAGUGACACCAAAAAAUUUAACACAUUUUCCUGUCAAACAAGUGUUCUUUGAAAACUAAAUGUGUGCAUUAUCUUUUUUUACUUAAAGUUACUUGAUGUUUGCUUAAACUCCAUUUGCUUGGAGUAGAACUUUCUAAUGAAUGAAAAUGACUAGGUUAGUCUGCCAAGUAAGUUGAGAACAUGAGUUUCUGUGUAUGAAUAAUAUAUAUUCUCUCUUUUCCUAUUUUGUUUUGAUAAUCAUAUCUCUGAGAACAAAGCUCUGAUGGCAGUCUUUUUAAAAGAUACAGAAAAAAAUCUUGUUUUUUUUGGCCAUGCCAUGAAGCUUCCAGUAUCUCAGUUCCCCAACCAGGGAUUGAACCCAGAUUAUGGCAGUGAAAACCCAGAAUCUUAACCACUAGGCUACCAGGGAACUCCCAAGAUUAUGUUUUUUUUUUUGUAAGACUUCACCAUCAUCUAUAAAAUAGCACAGUUUAACUGCUUCCUCAGUUUAAAAUUCCACAGACUAUAACAGUGAUAGAGAUGAUUUCUUCUUAUCCAAGAAUAUAUUUUUCUUUAAGUUCCACAUUUUAUAUAUUUUUUAUAGUAGCCUAAUUUAGCAAGAUCAAAUUAAGAAUUUCACCCAGGGUAUCAGGUAGAACCAUUAGACUGUUGGAGAAUUUACUUGGAAAAAGAAAAACUAGAGGUAAAGAGAAGGUGCUGAUUGAUAGCAAUCUGAAAUAAAGAUUGUAAAGCAUCUUUGGAAUUAGCUUGUUGUAAGUAGGAAAUUCAUCUGGUAUAUAAAAAUAAGUGUGGCUGUUGACAUUUGGAAAUGUUAUGUUGACUUACUUUUAAGAGUGGCACUCCAGGUUACUUCACAGUCGUUGGCAAAAGUUCAUUCAAAUCCAGGUUUUCUCUUAGAGAAACGUGGAGUCAGAGUCCCCACACUUAUGAGUAAAGCGUGCAUUCACUUUGUCCCUGACAGUCUGCCAGUGACCAUGGUUUCUAAGGUUCCUUGUUGGAACCAGAGACAAGAAGAAAGGGGAGAGGGUGCCAAUCAGAUCAGUUGCGACCUUUUAAAUUUGACCCUUUGGGUAAUGUACAUGGAAAGUAGUAUUUACUCUUUUGAGUAGUAGUAGCGAAAGUGUUAGUCAGUUGUGUCUGACUCUGAGACCCCAUGGACUGUAACCUGCCAGGCUCCUCUGUCCAUGGAAUUCUCAAGGCAAGAAUACUGGAGUGGGUAGUUGUUCCCUUCUCCAGGGGAUCUUCCCAACCCAGGGAUCACACCCAGGUCUCCUGCAUUGCAGGCGGAUUCUUUUCCGUCUGAGCUACCAGGGAAGCUAUGCCUCUAGUUUCAACACUGAUGUUUUUUUCCCUGAAAUUUCCAGGAGCUUAGCUUGAUGUCUUUUUCAAAGGGUAGAGGAUGGGGUGGGCAAAGCCCACAAAUGUUGGGAGAAGAGAAAUAUGCAGGGAAAUGUUUUCUUGAAAAUAGAAAGCUGCAGGAAAUGGAGUAGGGUCAGCAUCAGGAAGGCAGGAGAUAUUAAGUAAUUUGUGGUCUGAUUUGCUUCCAGUGUGGUUUACUCACAGCUAACAUGAAAUGAGUAUUUCAUUCCUCAAGUAUGCACUUGGGAAAAAAUGGGAAGCCAGGCUGGAGACACAGGUUUGCAGCAGAUGCUCUGUAUCCAGGUCGUAACAGCUUUGAUGGCAUUCAGUCCAAGAGCAACAACAACUCCAAAGGAAAAAUCUGUAAACAUUCCUGAAUCUGAUCACCUUCACCAUCAUCAGCCAGUGGAUAGGAUAAGACUUGUUGAAGGGCCCUUUGAUGACUUUUGAUUAUCAGGAAAUUUUGUAUAAAAAAGUUGAAAUUACGUUCAAGAAUUCUUUUUCUGGUUCCCUUUUUUUUUGUUUGUUUGCUGCGCUGGGGUGUAGUUGGGGCACUCUUGGUUGCCUCACAGCUUGUGGGAUCCAGUUCCCAGAACAGGGAUCAAACCUGCAUCCCCUACAUUGGAAGGUGGGUUCUUAACUGCUGGGUCACCAGGGAAGUUCCCUGGUAUCUUACUCCCUUGAUAUUAUUUCACAUUGCACAGCUAAAAUAAUCAUAACACCUUGUUAACUUUUAAAAUGAAUGUUCCUGAGCUAAGACGACAGGAAUCUCCAUUUUGUGGACAUAGUUUACACUGGACCCUUUGUUUACUGUUACAUCCAGGGCAUCCCGGAUGGGGAGAGCUUUCCACGUCACAGCUGGUGGCCAGUGUUAGCCAGGCCUAGUCUACAGGUUCAGUUUUGCCCUUGGCUUUGUCCCUGACUGGAGAACCAAAUUGCGAGAACUAAGUGAAAGUGUUGGGAAAAGCUUGAUUCAAAAUAUAUAUGAAUCAAGUGUACCAUUUUUGAAAGACAGGUUAUUGAGCCCACCUCAGUCAGGGACACUGGAUAUUUGGUUUAAAUAAAAUAAGAAUGUUACUCAUUUUAUGUGUUUUAAAUUGCUAAAGAACCUUGUAAGCACUUAAAAGUGUAGCUGGAUUUGGUGUAGGCCAGAAAAAUAUGGCUGUUACGAUUAGAGUAUGACUCGUGUAUUGGAGAGGGCAAUGGCAACCCACUCCAGUACUUUUGCCUGGAGAAUCCCAUGGACGGAAGAGCCUGGUAGGCUAUAGUCCAUGAGAUGGCACAGAGUCGGACACGACUGAGCGACUUAGCAGCACCAGCAGCAGCAUGUGAUUCUUGAUUAUUACUUACACUAUCAUAGAAACGCAAACAUGUAUGUGGGUUGGAUAGCCAGUGUCCUUGGUAUUUACUUCAAAUGAGUGAUGAAAAUACCUGUGAAAACUUUGUGCUGGGACCUCCAUUUUUUAUGUCCAGUGGUCACCUUAUAAACCAGGCAUGAAGAGAAAUAAAAUAAUUCAGGCAUGAAGAGAAACAAAAUAAUUAACUCUUUGUAUCUUGAGGUUUAUUCUCUUCAGCUGGUCUAAUGGAAUGGGUAUAAUGAUAAUCAUUUCUCAGUUUAUCCCUACCCUUUCUCUUUUUAAAUCUAUAGGAGCAGUUGUGAUGUCAGUAAAGCUGUGGUUAAGUAUAUAUGUUAGAGGACUUAAAAUACAAACAAUAGAAGUGUUUUGUAGUAUAGUUGUUACCACUGACUUAAAAGGUAAGAUUUACCUUGAAAAUUCAUAAAGUAAGACGAGUAGUCAGCUGCAAGAUAUUAAUACAGGCCUUGAAACUUAAUAAUUGUUGGCUGAUACAAGAACAAAAUACUGUAAUACAAACUAGAAUGUCUUCAAGAACAGAAGUCUGCUCUUGCCAGCUCGUGGCUCUUAGGUUAACAAAUCUAAUCCAGGAUGCAUCUUAACCCUGCAGCAAAUAGUAUUUUAUUUUUGCCUUAUUUCCAGAUACCAGCUUAACACAAGUGCUCUACCCUAUUGCCUGGCUUUGAGCAGUGUUCUGCUCUGAAAAGAAAGUUAUAUGUACAUUUUAUCUUCCGUUUGAAUACUACUUCUUAACUGCAAACUAAUAAGCAUUGAACCCAGUAUUCACACAGCCUGCUCUGUUUUAUAAAAUUUCUCAGCUCUUUUCAGAUCGUUCUAAAUGGUGAUUCCUUUUCUUUUUAUUAAACUCAUCUUUGCUUUUUCUUCAUAAAGUUAAGGGUAGGUAACAUGAGUCCCUCUUGCCCUUUACUAUUAGAAUCUGGCAUCAGGAGAACUGUUGCUAUGUAUGAUUUUCUUCCAAAACUUCCCUUUUCUGGGAUGAAAGUUGUAUUGAUUCCAGUGUUUGUUAUUUAGUUGAGCAGUAUCAGUAAAUUCACUGGCUCACCUUCCUGUUUAGUGAAUACCUAACCAUAUUAUUUUAUAUCCAUGUGUUGAAUGCCAAUCCUAAAACAGAUUGCAGGGAGGAAAGAGGGUACUUGGACCAUACUUUUUUUUUUUUUUGACCAUACUUUGAAUAAAAGACAUUUUGAGGGUUGUUCCCCCACCCCCCGCCCUUAAAAACAAAAGCCAACUCCUUGGUACCGGAUGUAUUCAUUGUACUUUUUGAAAAAUUGCUCUGGUCAUUAUGUUCAUUUUUCUUGAAUUAGUAUUCUGCCCUGGUCCCUAAAGAUAGUUUUAUAUGCUAACUUUUGUUUUGCCUUUCUAGCUGCUAAAAUAGGUAAUGGUUAUUACAAACGGCACGUUUUUAAAUGGUCUCCAGUGUGGAUUGUUCAGCCAGUGAUGGAGUGAGUACAUUGAGGAAGAAGGUGUCAUUCGGAAUCCAGAACCAUUCCACAAGGAUAACUACCUGAUACAUGGUCAGAAUGCUCAAACUAAUGGCAUACCGAUGACUUUCUCUUCCAGUCCCCUAAAAAACAAGUUUUGUCAGCCUGAGUUCCCCUAAUCUACCUACUCUCAUUUCCAUUCCCAAAGUCGUGACCUGAUUCUGUCACUUUUGGCUAUCAGAGGGAAUUGAGGUGUCAGUAUGUGAGUACAACAAACCUGUUUAGUGAUUUAUCGGAAGCAAAGAAAAAUAGUUUUGUUUGCUGACUACUUGAAGUAUAGAGCGUUUUGGUUUUCAGUUGAUUUUGCAAAGCAUUAAAGACAUUUCUUGGUGGUUAAUUCCACAUGUAUUUUUUCCUCCCCUCUUACUAAGUUAAUUUCAAUGCUAAUUUCCUAAGAAAGCAAUUGAAUAAGUCUUAAUUUAAAGCUUGUACUAAUGAUAAUCAGAUAAGGUUCAUUUCCUACCCCCACCUCCCGCCCCCAACUUUAAGUGAUAACGUAAGUAGAAUAUCCAUUUCAAAUUUGUCUAGCAAAUUAGAGAAUCAGUAAUUUGCCAGUAUUUUUCAUUACUUUUCUUAGAAUUAUUUUUCCUUUACACAUUUAUAGUGCAAAAUAAAUCUGGUACAAAC